GCGCCUAUUCGAAAAGUUUACAAACGCCUUUCAAAUUCCAUCAAUGUCUAUAUAAUGCAUUGCAGACUCCAACACAACCAUUAGCGAUAACCAAUCACUGCAUUCCUUUAAUAAAAUAUAAUUGAUCUUUCUCUAACCUAUAAUUGUUAAAACCAUAUGGUCUAUUCACUUCUUUCAGAUUUGGACACUACAAGGGAUGAUUGAUUGGUUAAGGUACGAGUUUGCCGGAUGUGGGAAUUUAAAAAUCCCAAUAGAAGCAACGAGAUGAUAAGUUUGGACAUGAUACUUAUUAACGAAAAGGGAACUUUGAUACACGCAGUUAUAUGGAAGAAUCAUGUGAAUAGGUUUCGUGCUGAUAUAGACGAAGGCUCUAUGAUAAUUAUCAGGAACUUUAAGGUGUCUGAAAGUAUGGGUGAAUACAGACCCAUACAAUCUGAUGUUAAAUAACUUUUCUGCGGAUAACUGUCAUACAAAAAAUAAGGAUGAUACUGCUAAUAUCCCUAAAAAUGGAUUCCAAUUUAUUCAGCCAAACAUUUUUUCGACCAAGGGUCAAUAAAAAGACCUACCUAUCAGAUGUGAUCGGAUGCAUAUGUGGGAUAGGUGAUCUAGAGAGUGUUGGCUCAAAGUGGGAAAAAUGAGACUUACACAUUCUUAC